GAGUGAUAGUAAAGCAAACAAUAAAGGGAAUUCCCAAAGAAGAUAAAAAAAAGAAACAUGUAUCUGGAGGUGUUUAGUACACACGAUAGUUAAUAGCCUGUCUGGUGGUAUUUUGUAUAAAUAAACUGUGUUUUGUGGAGGAAAUUAUCAUUUGCCAACAUGAAAUUCUACGCUCUAUUUGCAUUUGUCUUGGCUUUAAUGGCUAUGGCCAUGGCUAAUCCCAAUCCUAAUCCCCAUCCUCAACCCAGACCUUUGCCUGGUGGUGGAGGAGGCGGUGGCGGCGGUGGUGGUGGCUUUUUCGGUGGUGGCGGUGGAGGCGGCGGCGGUGGUGGUGGCAAAUAAUUCACCUGAAUCUGACUGGGAACAUAAGAAAAGGAAAAGAGCUCAAUAAAAUAUAAAAAAUUAAAAACAAUUUAUUUAAAAUUAAUGUUUUUUAUUUUAGAAAAUGUUUUUUUGGAAGAUUAAACAAAAUUUUUUGUAAAGGAA